rnacentral:misc_RNA from 1 species
AAAUGUAGAUGUGACGCAAAUCUAAUAGACCGAUCAUACCAAUUUUGUAACACGAAUAAAUACUAAAAAACGGGGAUCGUUGAGGGAAAGUUUGACAGAGUAUUAUACUUACGUCCUUCCCUUACCCGUGUAUUGUACGGAAAUCGUUCCAACUACCCUGGCUAAAGCAAGAAAGAACAUCUACCAAACUAUGUUAAAUGAUGACAACAAGAUCGAUGACUUGAUGCUAAUCUAAUGUGGUAUAAGUACGAACGUGCAUAGGAUUAUGGUAGUGAUUGUCAUGCAUUCAGAGCCCAGAUGACUUGUUCCAGGGAAGGGCAGAGGAUUUGUCACAAAGGAUUUUAACCCUGACAUCUCAUUUGGCGACCAGUAAUUGGAAUUUCUGCUGUGGGAUAUUGAUAUUUACAGCACGGAAAGGAUGAACUGUAGCUAUUGGAUUGAAUUCUGUGUGAGACCCAGUAACAAUUGUACUUUCUUGGAUUUGUACCUAAUAGAUCAACAGUGCAUUAACAAGAGCGUUGACGAAAUUUCUCAACAGUCCGCCUCUCUAUACUUGCAGCCUGCAUACAAACUUAAACAGAAUUUGAUUCUAUACGUGUCUCCUGUUCUUCUUGUGUUUGGAAUUAUAGGAAAUUUACUGUCUUUUAUUGUUUUAAAUGGACAAACGAAGAAAAUGUCAACAUACUCUUAUCUAAGCGCUUUAGCCAUAAUGGAUUUAGCCGUGCUCAUCGUUGGUUUACUGCGUUUAUGGGUGGCUGAAAUCACCGGUAGUAGUAUAAACGAUGUCUCAGAUGUCACGUGCAAGCUCGUGCAGUUUCUGGGAUACGUGUGCAGUGAUUCGUCGGUGUGGCUAAUUGUGACCGUUACUACAGAACGUUACAUAGCAGUAUGUCAUCCUCUUAAAACGCAAAUGCUUUGCAAAACGGAAAGGGCAUGGAAAAUUUCUUUAAUACCCAUCUUAGUUAUCUGUACUAUUAACUCGCAUUUCUUUUUUACUGUAUCUAUUCAGUAUAAACCCAGUCGAACCGAGUGCGAAGCAUCUCCAUCUUUUGAACUACUUGUAAACAACAUUUGGCCUUGGGUUGAUGCUGUAAUUUAUUCCUUUCUACCCUUCGUCAUCAUUGGAAUCCUUAACUGUUUCAUCAUUCGGAAGAUUUCACAAGCUGCAAAAAGGCGUAAAGGAUUUUUGCAAGUCAAACACCGUACUACGCGUGAAGUGAGACGCUACUAAGUCAUCUGAUAGCAAUAAGAAAUUGACAACCAUUCUCCUUUCAGUGUCUUUUACAUUUUUAGUCACAGCCACGCCGAUGAAUAUUUCUCUGAUUUUUACCGCCUUCUGGAACAGAGGUCCAGGUGAUGUAGAGGAGGCAGCCAUGUUUCACCUCAUCAAAACAAUUACUGAGUUGCUUAUGUAUGUCAACCACUCGAUCAACUUUUUUCUGUACUGUGCCACUGGACAAAAAUUUCGAAGUUCGCUUGUGAAACUGAUAUGUUAUAACCGUUUUGGCAGCUCGGGUAAUGAAGAAACUGUUUUUACUUCAGACAGAAAUAGACUGAAUAGCUGAUAACAAUCUGUAUCAUGGUUAUCUCUAGACCUCAGGUCUUGAAUAAUUCACCAUAAAAACAACUACUUCUAUAUGUUCCUUUAAGUUCUAAAUUUAUUCACUGCAAUGUAUGAUUUGGGAGAAAUUUGUUUUGGUUUUAAAUUACUUUGUCGGAUAUGUCGGAUGCACUGAAUUAUUGAGAUCUACACACCGUUCUUUUUUUAAAUCUUAGUAAAGUAUCACUAAAUAUCUGUUAAGUUGUGAAAACAAAAUUAGCAAUUUUGAUUUCAGUUAUGAACUAUCAAAGUUUUAAUAUCAAACAUUGUUAUACGUUCUCUCAGUCUCUCUUUAAUAAAAGAUAAUUGGCAAUUCC